rnacentral:rRNA from 1 species
GCAAGGUUAACCGUAUAGGGGAGCCGCAGGGAAACCGAGUCUUAACUGGGCGUUAAGUUGCAGGGUAUAGACCCGAAACCCGGUGAUCUAGCCAUGGGCAGGUUGAAGGUUGGGUAACACUAACUGGAGGACCGAACCGACUAAUGUUGAAAAAUUAGCGGAUGACUUGUGGCUGGGGGUGAAAGGCCAAUCAAACCGGGAGAUAGCUGGUUCUCCCCGAAAGCUAUUUAGGUAGCGCCUCGUGAACUCAUCUUCGGGGGUAGAGCACUGUUUCGGCUAGGGGGUCAUCCCGACUUACCAACCCGAUGCAAACUACGAAUACCGAAGAAUGUUAUCACGGGAGACACACGGCGGGUGCUAACGUCCGUCGUGAAGAGGGAAACAACCCAGACCGCCAGCUAAGGUCCCAAAGUCAUGGUUAAGUGGGAAACGAUGUGGGAAGGCACAGACAGCCAGGAUGUUGGCUUAGAAGCAGCCAUCAUUUAAAGAAAGCGUAAUAGCUCACUGGUCGAGUCGGCCUGCGCGGAAGAUGUAACGGGGCUAAACCAUGCACCGAAGCUGCGGCAGCGACACUAUGUGUUGUUGGGUAGGGGAGCGUUCUGUAAGCCUGCGAAGGUGUGCUGUGAGGCAUGCUGGAGGUAUCAGAAGUGCGAAUGCUGACAUAAGUAACGAUAAAGCGGGUGAAAAGCCCGCUCGCCGGAAGACCAAGGGUUCCUGUCCAACGUUAAUCGGGGCAGGGUGAGUCGACCCCUAAGGCGAGGCCGAAAGGCGUAGUCGAUGGGAAACAGGUUAAUAUUCCUGUACUUGGUGUUACUGCGAAGGGGGGACGGAGAAGGCUAUGUUAGCCGGGCGACGGUUGUCCCG